UUAAAUAAACAAAUAAAUCUAAGACCAAUAACAAGUGGGGCAUAUAUUCUCCACCAAUCAAAAUUGCUCAAAAUACAAUUUUUUUUUAAAUCAUUAUUUAGGGACUCAAAAUACAAUUAUUUAUUUAUUUAUCUUUCCAUUUUCUUUCUAAUUGUUAGAUAAUCAACCCCAUCCGGCCACUCCUCAUCAUUAGUAGAUCAGCAUGACUCAGCAAACUACAACAAUCAUUUUUUUAAUCUCUCCUUCUCAAUAAAUUCCAGAACUUUCCAAAACUCCUCAUCCCAAUAUAUCAACCAAAAUCUUCUAUCAAAAAUAAAUAAUUAAAAAACAUCAACCAAGAAAUAAAAAUGAAACCCACAAAUAAAAACAUGACACCUAUACAAAUCCACAAACAUAAAAAUGACCCCCCAUAUUAGAUGGUUCCUUCAUCCUUCCCUUCUAAACUCUAGAACUUUCCACUCAAAAAAAAAAUUAAAAUUUUAAUUUUGUUAAUAUAAUUUCUAUUUAAUGGUCCAAAUGUCACUCACUCAACCCUCCUCAAUCUUAUUAGUCACAAAAUCUUCCAUAACAAAUCCACAAUAACUGCCAAAACCUACCUUAGAGCAGAAACAGAGCAUGUUUUAUUGUCCUCUUAAAAUCAAAUUCUUAGCUCAAAUUUUGCAUUCCUUUUUUGUACCAAAAAUUUUACAAAAUCUUUUCCAAAAUCCCUUUUAUUUAUACUAAUCAAAGUUUCAAUCUUUUUCUCAAUUUUCUCUCUCCUCUUCUCCCCUGUUUGGAUUUUGUUUCUUUUUGUGUAUAAAUUUGAUCAAAUUUUCAUCCGGGGUUAUACUAAUUUCAUCUCUAACUUGAAUAAUUGAAGAAAUUUCAUCAAAAUCUCAUCUGGGUUUCCUUCAAUUUCAAUCAAUUAAGCUCAAUUUCAGUCACAUUGUUACUCAAUCUUUCAAAAAAUCAAGCUUUUUCUUAGACCAAUCAUCAAAACCCCAGAAAAAUUCAACCUUUGAAUUUUAUAAAUUUUCAUCAAAUGAAUCCCUUAUAUCAACAAGUAAAAGAAGAGUACCCGGAAUCAGGGUCGUCGGUGACAUUUUCCGGCGAGGGUUCCUCGAACUUUCCGGCGCCGCAACCGAGAGAAGGAUUACAUGAAAUGGGCCCACCUCCAUUUUUAACGAAGACUUAUGAGAUAAUUGAUGAUCCAAUUACUGAUAACAUAGUUUCAUGGAAUAAAGAAGGUCAAAGCUUUGUAGUUUGGGAUCCUUAUGCCUUUUCUUCUGGUUUACUUCCAAGAAAUUUCAAGCACAAUAAUUUCUCUAGCUUUGUGAGGCAGCUUAAUACUUAUGGUUUUAGAAAGAUUGAUCCAGACAAAUGGGAAUUUGCCAAUGAAGGGUUUCUAAGAGGGCAAAAGCAACUACUCAAGAACAUAAGAAGAAGGAAAAACUCAUCAUCAAAUCAUUUGUUAUUUCCUCAACAAGAAGGGAUAGACCCUCUUGUAGAGCUAGGAAGAUUUGGGCUUGAUGGUGAAGUGGACCGAUUAAGGCGCGAUAAGCAAGUACUAAUGAUGGAAUUAGUGAAGAUAAGACAACAACAACAGAACACAAGAGCCUUCUUACAAGCUAUGGAACAAAGGUUACAAGCAACUGAAAUGAAGCAACAACAAAUGAUGAACUUUUUAGCAAGGGCAAUGCAAAACCCUACUUUUCUCCAACAAUUAGUCCAACAAAAGGAGAAAAGGAAAGAAAUUGAGGAAGAAUUUAGCAAGAAAAGGCGUAGGCCGAUUGAUCAAGGGCGAAAGGGUCAUUUACAAAGAGGGGAGUGUAGUAGCAGUGUACCCUAUACAAGUGUAGGAAAUGAUGGUUACAUUAAGUCUGAGCCUUUAGAAUUUGGUGGUUCUUAUGGUUAUGAUCAAUAUGAUAAUCUUGGUUGUGUUUCUGAGCUUGAGGUAUUAGCCCUUGAAAUGCAAGGGCAUGGUAGGGGAGGGGCCGAGGUGGGGGAGGAUGAACGCGGUGGUGGUGGUGGUGGUUUGGAGCAAUUUGAAGGCGGUGGUGAUAAAGAACUAGAUGAUGAAUUUUGGGAGGAGUUGUUAAGCGAAAGGUUUAAGGCCGCCUCAAGUAAUCAAGGAGGUGAAGAUCAUGAGGAUGUGAAUGUGUUAGCUGAUAGGUUGGGUUACUUAGGUUCAAGCCCCAAGUAGAAGGUUCAUUUCCAUGAAAUAGGGAGGAGAUCAAGAAAGUCAAGAAACCAGCCAAAGUUGACUGUUUUAUGAGGAAGAUUUAAACUGCUUUAUUUUAUUUCAAGUCAUUGCUGAUUAAUUGAAGUCCUUUUGUUGUCAAACUCAAAUGUUCCUUUUUUUCCAAUUGUGUUUACAUUAUUGUAGGAAUGCAGGCAAAGUUGAAGUUUUUUUGCACCAAAAAAUUGUGCAAAAGAUUGAUUGGAAAUGAUCUGAAGUUCGAAUCGAAAAGAAAAGAGUUUGCUGCCCUACAAAUCAACAUGAUUGAGAAACAUGGUAGUUUAAUUGUUGUCUGAAAACUUCUAUCAGCUGACAGUAUUUUUUUCUGCAAGUUUUUUCAGCUGUUCAUGGUUCAGCUAUCAGAAAAAAGCUUAUCAUCUGGGGAUCAUGUUUAUUCCACCGCCUUGUAUAUUGGAAGUACCACCUUGUCUCCACCCUCAUUAGACUUCUAACACCUUCCUCCACCACCUACAACCACUCUAAACCACCACCCUCUGCCGCUGUCAACCGCCCAACCUACCAACCUGUCGAGCCAACCACACCCUUUUUCCUCUUUUGUACUAGUUUAGAUUUGAGAACCAAAAUAGUUUAGUUUUGUUACUACAGUACUUUAUAUCUAUGUUUGCAGCUAACACAACAAUAAGCACUGUUAACAUUCUGAAUUAAAAUCUGAAUCAAUGGUUUAAUUAUCUAGUCAGUGUCACUGACUUAGUGGUAAACUAACUGGUAAUAUAACCCCUAGCAGAACUUGGGAAAGUAGAACUUGUUAGGAAGGGUCUUUUGCUAUGUAUAAGCAUUUCCUAAUAAGUGGGUGAUAUUGUUUGGUUAAACUUACUUCCCAUGGAAAGUUCCAUAUCUAGGGAAUUUAGGUUAAACAAGUUCGUUCAUUUUGUAGAAAGUGUGACUUUUUUUUUUUGGGUUAAAAACUAGUCACUUCAUUUAAAUAUAAACAUCAAAAGGUUGUAAUGUUUUGUUCAUAUCGCCCCACUCCUUACGGAGGCAAAAAUACAGCCACUUAUGGCAUAAUUACGAAGCAAGCAUGCUCCCAAAAAGUAAGUUUCAUUGUCACUAGAGAUAUCAUUAGCUAAACUGGGGGGGGGGGAGAAAGUUCAACGCCUUGAUCCAACAGACUCAACCAGGCCUUGGUCUUCUUUGCCACGUAAUCCGCCUCCAAGAGUUCUUCUCUUCUUUGGAAGAAGUCACGGGAGCCUGUGUGUGAAAGUGUGACUUCAUUAUUUAUGUUUUUGUCAACUAGACAGUCCUACAAUCUUUCACUUCCCAGGAAGUCAUUUUCAUGUCAACCAAACAUCAUCUAGGUGGGCUAUUCCACGUCUUCACCUAUUACCGAUUGAUUUUAGGAUGUUUUUUCACGUUUAUGUAAGAAAUAUGAGUGUUUUUUACUGUUCA